rnacentral:rRNA from 1 species
UACGUAGGGCGCAAGCGUUGUCCGGAAUUACUGGGCGUAAAGCGCGUGUAGGCGGCUUGGCAAGUCGGGUGUGAAAGCCCCGGGCUCAACCUGGGAAGUGCACUCGAAACUGCUUGGCUUGAGUACUGGAGAGGGAAGCGGAAUUCUCGGUGUAGAGGUGAAAUUCGUAGAUAUCGAGAGGAACACCGGUGGCGAAGGCGGCUUCCUGGACAGUCACUGACGCUGAGACGCGAAAGCGUGGGGAGCAAACAGG